rnacentral:lncRNA from 1 species
CUUGAGUCUAUGCAGUUUUCAAUUCAUUAAGGUCAGUCCAAGAAUAUUUGAUCUAACUGCCCAUCCAGGUAAGCUCUGUGUGUGUGUGUGUGUGUGUGUGUGUGUAUGCAUGCUCACUGAGGCUUGGUGAGACUUUAAAUAUUGUUAAUUCUUUUUUUAAAAAAUUUUGUAUUAGAGUAUAGUUGAUUUACAAAGUUGCUUUAAUUUCAGGUGUACGCAAAGUAGAUCAGUUGUACAUAUACAUAUAUCCAUUGUUUUUCAGAUUCUUUUCCCAUAUGGGUUAUUAAAGAAUAAUGAAUAGAGUUCCCUGUGCUAUACAGUAGGUCCUUUUUAGUUAUCUAUUUUAUGUACAGUAGUGUGAGCUUUGUUAAUUCUGAUUGUGAAGCAAGGUGAUCACUGACAUGUUCUUACAGGGGACAGUUUUCCAGUUUUGAAGAGACCUGUUGGGAUAAACACAUUCAAGAUAAUAGCGCUGGGACAGGACAAAAGCCACUUCAUUGUAAAAAUGCCUUCAACCUGAAACAUUCUGAUGGACCUGUGCACGAACAAUGGACACACACUGCCUAAUGUGGGAUGGAAGAGUAGCUGGUGGACCGCGGCAUUCUCUGGAUUCAUGGUUUGCUCUUUGGAGCCAGAUGGCACGCAAUACGUCUGAAGCUAAAUCCAGUCUUGUGACAGUGGUCAUCGCCAGCGAGGAACCACUUGGUCUGUGACGCCAAACUAUUCGGUUCUUUGUGAGUCUUUUCCAUCAAGCAAGCUCUUGGGUACUUCUCUGAGUGUAAAGAAACAUACAUGCCCCUUGAUGACUGUGGGACUCUUGUUUUGCGAGGUAUCAUUUUGUUUGUUCUGUGUUUCAUCUACCUCACUCUUCUUUAGAAAAAAUAAUGAAGAUCACAUAAAUAAUAACCUUGGUACUUAUCAUCAACUAGCUUGUUGCUUCACAAUCUGAUUUCAGUGCUUACUUUUCAAUGAUUUCAUUAUUGAUUGAGGUAUCCAUUAAUUCAGCAAAGUCUUCCCUUACAUACAAACCAAGAUUGUAGGCGCUCAAGUCAAAUGAUAUAAGUUGGGUUCAUCAACACACAGGUUUUAAAAACCAUGUCAUCUUGGGAAACUCUUUACAUUUUUCUCAGUUCUAGCUUCUAUGGCUUAUUUACAUUGAAGAUAAUCCUCCUAAUUGUACCAUUUAUAAAAGUGAUUUGUAAACUGUAAAGUACGAUGCAAAUACUUUUGAUUCUCAGAGGUUAGGACUGGAAUGUUAUAUAAGUUAAAUAUAAGCAUAUUUUAAGCAUCUAUUGCAUGCUCAGAAAUACGUGAGGUGUUUUGUAGAUAAAAGGACUAAAUUGACAGAGUUUCUAUACUCAAGAAAGUUUGAGUCUAUGAGAAGAAAAUAAUUUAAUCAUGGAAAAGACACAAAUUUAGCCACUGAGUUGUCUGAAAAUUUUCUAUAAAGUAAUCUGUUUGCCAGGCAAGGCCAUUAACAUUGUGAUUCUCUGUGUUCCUUGGUCUGGUUUUGCAAUAACCUAUGUAACCAGCAAUAGCUCUUAUUUUAAGAUAAGCUUCCUCUAAACAUAAUAAAUUAUUCACUUUUAUUUAAUAGUGAAUUAAA